rnacentral:misc_RNA from 1 species
AGCGCGGAGCGCCGGGCGGAGCGGACUACCGAGCGGAGCGGAGUGUCGAACGGACCGGUGCGGGUGAACGAACGAGUGAGUGGAGAGACGGUCGGUGUGCGCCGACCACCAGCCGGUGACGUGGCUUCCUCCGGCGGCGAGGACGGCGGCCACAUCUGGCCGGAGCUCGACCACCACCAUCGGCGGGCGAGCGAUGCGGGCGGACUGAUUGACGUUCAGCAGCGGCCAACCAUGUCCAGACGGGGCAGCGCGGCGGCGGCCGGGUCCGGCUCAGCUGGACUCUGGUCGGACGCCGCUGCCGGCCCCGACACCCCGCUACGCGGCGACGACAGUCGAAUGAUGGAGCUGGGCUCGCGGCGACCCACGCUCACCAAGCCGCCCUGUUACCGGUACCCCGCCGAGGCCGGCUACUCGGCCGCCGAGUCUGGGUACGGCGACGAGUGCGGCCUACUCAGCUGUCGACCGCGCGCCCUGCAGCGGUUCGCCAGCAUCAAGGUAUUUGUGCUGCUGCUGUCGCUGCUGGUGACGCUCCAGCAGGCUCUCAGCUCCGGCUACCUCAACUCAGUCAUCACCACCAUAGAGAAGCGGUACGAGAUCCCCAGCUCGCUUACCGGCGUCAUCGCCUCAUUCUACGAGAUCGGCAACAUGCUCACCGUCAUCUUCGUCAGCUACCUCGGCUCGCGGCGACACGUACCCGUGUGGAUCGGCAGAGGCAUCAUCGUGAUGGGUCUGGGCAGCCUGCUGUUCUCCGUGCCGCACUUCCUGACGGACAGCUACAGCCUCAGUGUGGACUCCAACUCGAGCUCUGUGGCGGAUAACGUGUGCCGGCCGGCCGUGCGCCGUGACCAAUAUCGCCAGUUCGAGCAGAUCACUGGCAUCGAAAGCAUCGGUAAACUGGCAGAGGGACUCCACGACCUGUCUCGGGACCUGGCGUCUCCUCCACUCUCUCCGCACAACAACCUGCACGGCCGGCGCGACAACUGCAUUGACGGCACCAUCAGCAACCUGCUGCCGGUGCUGAUCUUCAUGCUGGCUCAGCUGCUGCUGGGCUCGGGCGGAUCGCCGCUCUUCACACUGGGCACUACCUACAUUGACGACCACGUACCCCGGGAGAGCUCCUCGUUCUAUAUCGGCUGCAUGUACAGUAUGGUGGCGUUCGGGCCGGUGCUGGGCUUCCUACUGGGAGCCUACAUGCUCUCUCACCACGUGGACGCCUUCUCUGGCAUCCCGCUGCCUGAUGAUGCCGAUACGUCGGACCCGCGCUGGGUGGGCAUGUGGUGGGGCGGCUUCCUCAUCUGUGGCAUUGGCAUGUUCGUGCUCGGAGCGCCCUUUUUCCUCUUCCCCAAGAGCCUGGAGUGUGAGAAGCAGCGCGUCCGGGAGGAAGAAAAAGCCAAGGAGGCCAAGCGGCAGCACCGGGCUGCGUCACGCGGCUCCGAGGAGCAUUUCCACCACUUCCGGCAACGCCACGUGUCCGAGCACGAGCCGCACGGCGGACACGUGCACGGACACGCGGCACGUGGCCACCGGCGCACGGCCAGCAGUAAUGUGGUGAUCGACCACAGCGCCAGCAAACAGGCGCACUUCAAACCGGGUCAUCGGCGGACUCUGUCCAACCCCACGGAGCACGAAUACCGCAGUCGACUGCGGCACAUGGAGCUGGCCGCCCAGCAGAAGGCGGCACAGGCCGAGCCGGCCAAGAACGUCUACACGGUGUCCCAGACGGCGCUGUCCAAAACCGGUCCACAGCGGGCGCUCUCUCAGAACAGUUUCCACCGCGGUCACCGGCGCACAAAGUCGAAUGUGUCGCAGGUUAGCCGGGUCAGCCAGCACAGUGCGCGCUCAGCGCGCUCCAACUACGGACGGGAUGUCAAAGACCUGCCGAAGUCGAUGUGGAAGCUGGUGUGUAACCCCAUCUACGUGGUCACCUGCCUGGGCGCGUGCAUGGAGCUGAUGAUCGUCUCCGGAUUCAUAGUGUUCCUGCCCAAAUACCUGGAGACCCAGUUCAGCCUCAGCAAGAGUCAGGCCUCUGUCUUCGCAGGCGGUAUCGCCAUCCCGGGCGCCUGCAUGGGCGUCUUCAUGGGCGGCUACAUCCUGAAGCGUCUCCAGCUGCGACCCAAGGGCGCCGUCCAGCUGAUUCUCAUCUUCCAGAUGAUCUCGCUGGCAAUGUACAGCGUCCUCUUCGUCGUCGGCUGCGACAACGUCAAGAUGGCGGGCGCCACAGCCCCGUACUCGCUCAGCUCGCGUCAAAGCCCGGAGAUGUUCAGCGUCAACCUGACGGCCAGCUGUAACUUCGGCUGCGACUGUGACCGGAACGAGGUGGAACCGGUGUGCGGGACGAAUGGACUGACGUACUUUUCACCGUGUCACGCCGGCUGUACGGCCUACAGCGCCGAGAGCAACUAUACCAACUGCGCCUGUAUAAACGAGGCGGGCAACUCGAGCAGCCAGUACGCCGAGAUCACCAUGGUGCCCGUGGCCACGCCGGGCUCGUGCUCGCGCGCCUGCUCCAACGCGCUGCCGUUCAUGGUGCUGCUGUUCUUCAUGACGUUCGUGGUGGCCAUCACCCAGAUGCCGCUGCUGAUGAUCGUGCUAAGGUCGGUGGACGAGGAGGAGCGCGCGUUUGCGCUCGGCAUGCAGUUUGUCAUCUUCCGCCUGUUCGCCUACAUCCCGUCACCGAUUCUGUUCGGCAACGUCAUCGACUCGACGUGCGUCCUGUGGAAGUCGCAGUGCGGCGAGCGCGCCGGGCGCUGCCUCAUCUAUGACAUCGAGGUGUUCAGAUUCAAGUACGUGGGCAUUUGUGCCGGCCUGAAGGUGCUCUCGCUGAUCAUUUUCCUGCUGGACUGGUUCAUGAUCCGGUGGAAGUACAAGCUGGACAUGAACCACACGAUGACGGUGGGCGACAUCGUCAACUCCAUCAUCAGCGUAGAUCGAGGUGAGGAAUUCUGACAGACAGGCUGCCCCGGUAUCAGCUCCGGUUAGCCUAGCGUAGUUUGUAAGCUUCAGAAACAAUGGGUGAGAAACGUUACCAUAGAAGCUACCUAGUGAUUCAGUGAUCGUUCUUCCUUGGAUGCAUUUUAUUUAAUGUGUUUAAUCGUGGUAGUCGUUGUUGAACACAGUCAUUUGAACGAAAUCGAUUAUCAUAAAAAAUUCUCCUCGGUACGUGGGCCUUCGGUACGGUCCUGGAUCGUUAUUCCUGAGAUCUCCGAGCAUCCAUCGGCGUUCCUGUUCCGUCCCACCCAUCCCUGUCCGGUUCCUGGCCUCUCGCCCCGUUCCUGGCCUCUCGCCCUGUUCCUGCCCCGCCAGCUCCGUUCUGCCAUUUCACCGAGGACCGGUGGCUGGCUCGGCACCCGACGCACCGUGCCAACCGACUGAUGACCCUCUGAGACCGCUGGAAACGAGAGAGGAAGGCUCGAAGGACCGCCCGUCCCGCCGCGGUCGGCGGGACCAUUCUGGUUACCGUGAAGUGGAGGUAGACGAAGCUAUCGAGGAGGAGGAGCGGCUAGCCUGCGGUGACGAGCCGCUGGCUCCCCGCGGAUCCAUCGACUCCUGCGACUCGGCGCUGCUGGGUGACGACGAGCACACGGCCGUACAUGGUGUGUGAGCGCGCCGGCCGCGGCGCCCCGCUUUUCUCUGUGAUCUGACGCCGCGCACCGGGGCGCGACCGGUGACCGGCGAAGGGCGACGCCCGCCACGCGGUGGCAGCUCAACUGGGGUGUCCGGCGCGCCGUGUGUGUGGGAGGGAGGGUGUGUGCUGAGCGAGAGCGAGCGAGUGAGCCGCGCACCUCUCAGUAUUGGUCCCGCGCCACACGCACACUUUACGACGGCAGGGAGCGCGCGCUGACGUGGCGUUGAGUCGCAGCUGGGCCGCGCGUGGGUUCCGCUAGCAAUAUGCCUUACCCAUAGAUUAUUGUUUUAUAGAUGACAGAAGAGGCAAAUUGUGUUGGUUAUAUAUGCGUCGAUUGGUGAUGUAACGCUGUGCCGUGUGGCCAAAAAUCACGUCCAUGUGUGAGGUGUUCAGAGCACCACGUGCACGUGAUCUGUAUUGAUGGAGCUGUGUUAAUGUGGACGACAAUGUUGGGGAGGCUGAAGGCCGACAAGUCGCCGGUCGUGGAUGGCCUUUUCGGCGCGAAUGGCGACGAACUGGGCGCGUCGGUGGCGAUCAGUGGCGCAGAGUGUUGUUGGUGUGUCAGUGAACCGUCUUCUUUGCCGCACAGAAAUCUCGCUGUUUCUCUUCCACCACACGUGUUGUCGUGCACGUGCUCACACAGUCACAGGUAAUAGCCUACUUGAUAGCCUUGGACGCUUGAUAGCCUUGGACGCUUGAUAGCCUACUGAGCUGAAGAGGUCUCCUAAAAACCCAACUCACAGUCACAGGUGUGCGCAGUCCGCCUGCCUGUCUGGCCGUCCGCACUCUCCCUUUCCAGGCGGGUCCGCGCGGCCCGCCCACGUCUGUCCGUCCGGGCUGUCUCCGCCACUCUGCCUCAGCCUCCUCACUCUGUCCGCGGGCCGCCCGCUCUCUGUCUCCUCUGUAGCUGGGGCCGUUUGUGAGGGGGGGGGGGUGACCCAGGUGUCGCAGGUCGGGGAGGGGCGUGGGUGGCCGCUGGCGCCCGUCACCCCGGCCUGCUGCCAACCUGUGGAAGACGCGUAAUCAGCUGACGGCCGCCGCCCUGGAGCGAACAGCGAACGGUGCAGAGCGUGAGCCAGCCCCGGGCCGCGCCGAGCGUGAACGUUCGAAAACAGCCGGUGGAUCCGAAUUGUGGGCAGUCAGAACUGAGAUAUAUAAUGCCGUAGUCUUGUAUUUAUUUAUUUUGACGGCUAGCUCCAGGACAGUAUUACGUGUAGAACAUAGAUCACCGCGGUAUGUUGAUUCAUGUUGUGAAAUUAGUGGCCGAUGUUGUGUACUGUACGCAGUUCUCUUAUGUCAACCAAUCAGAUGCAGAGCUGGUUAUAUGUUAUUAUUUAUUGUACUUAAUGCGACGACAUCUUAGUUUUCCACUAGCAUCGAUGUCAUACGAUAUUGUGUUGAAAAAUACAUAGCGUGGUAUAA